GCAAAGUUUUAUUCUAGCUUGGUAAUUAGGUUUAAUUUUAUUUUACAUGCAAGGUUAAACGUUAGUAAUUUUUUUUUUAGAAAAAAGAAAUCUAUUUUGUGUUCGCAGUGAAGAGAUUUAAUUAUCAGCGUAAGCUGGAAUUAGGAAUAAUUUAUAGUAUUAACUAAAUUUGUGCCAGCAGUUGCGGUUAUACGAUUAAUACGACUUAAUUUUUUAGGAUACAGUUAACUUUGAAAAUAGGAUUAUAUUUAUAAAUUCAUUGGGUGAAAUCUUGAAUUUUUUUAUUAAUUAUUUUUUGUUAGUGAGGCUGAGAAAUUCUUUUGUAGACUAGGAUUAGAUACCCUAUUAUUUUGAAUGUAAAUUUAUAUUCCAGAUUAUUAAUAGUUAUGUUCUUGAAAAUUAAAGAUUUUGGCGGUACUUUAGUCUGUUUAGAGGAACCUGUCCUAUAAUCGAUAAUCCACGAUUUUCUCUACUUUUUCUUUUAGCUUAUAUAUCGUCGUAGUUUGAAUAUUUUAUUAGAAUUUUAAUAUUCAGGAUUUAUUUUAUAAAGAAAUUCAGAUCAAGGUGUAGUUUAUGGGGAAGAAAGUGAUGGGUUACAUUAAAUUUAUUUAGGGAUCAUUUCAUUAAGAGAGAUGUUAAUUUGGAUUUAAUAGUAAUUUUAAUUUUUAAUUACAAUGAUUUUAGCUCUAAAGUAUGCACAUAUCGCCCGUCGCUUUAACUUUAAAGUUAAAUAAGUCGUAACAAAGUAGGCUUACUGGAAAGUGAGCCUGGAAAGUU
rnacentral:ncRNA from 1 species